rnacentral:rRNA from 1 species
GGCGCUUGAAGAGGGGGCUGCGGCCCAUCAGGUAGUUGGUGGGGUAAGAGCCUACCAAGCCGACGACGGGUAGGGGGCCUGAGAGGGUGACCCCCCACACUGGGACUGAGACACGGCCCAGACUCCUACGGGAGGCAGCAGUGAGGGAUCUUGGUCAAUGGGCGCAAGCCUGAACCAGCGACGCCGCGUGGGUGACGAAGGUCUUCGGAUCGUAAAGCCCUUUUCUGCGUGACGAGAGACGGACGGUAGCGCAGGAAGAAGUCUCGGCUAACUACGUGCCAGCAGCCGCGGUAAAACGUAGGAGACGAGCGUUAUCCGGAGUGACUGGGCGUAAAGGGCGUGCAGGCGGAGGGUUAAGACGGCUGUGAAAGCCUCUGGCUCAACCGGGGGAGGACAGCCGUGACUGGCCGUCUAGAGGGCGGCGGAGGGGUGUGGAAUUCCGGGUGUAGUGGUGAAAUGCGUAGAGAUCCGGAGGAACACCAGAGGCGAAGGCGGCACCCUAAGCCGCACCUGACGCUGAGACGCGACCGCACGGGGAGCGAACGGGAUUAGAA